GAGAGCCGGAUGCGUUAGAAGCGCACGUCCGGUUCGAUGAGCGGGGUGUGGAAACGGGAUAAUGGUCAGGACAGUAAGGCACCGCCAAUCGAAAGAGGUGGCAACAGAUAUGCCGGACCUAAAGUUACCGCGCCACAUCUCGACUCUAC
rnacentral:autocatalytically_spliced_intron from 1 species